rnacentral:rRNA from 1 species
UGGGGAAUAUUGCACAAUGGGCGCAAGCCUGAUGCAGCCAUGCCGCGUGUGUGAAGAAGGCCUUCGGGUUGUAAAGCACUUUCAGCGAGGAGGCAGGGGUUGAGUUUAAUACGCUCAAUCAUUGACGUUACUCGCAGAAGAAGCACCGGCUAACUCCGUGCCAGCAGCCGCGGUAAUACGGAGGGUGCAAGCGUUAAUCGGAAUUACUGGGCGUAAAGCGCACGCAGGCGGUUUGUUAAGUCAGAUGUGAAAUCCCCGCGCUUAACGUGGGAACUGCAUUUGAAACUGGCAAGCUAGAGUCUUGUAGAGGGGGGUAGAAUUCCAGGUGUAGCGGUGAAAUGCGUAGAGAUCUGGAGGAAUACCGGUGGCGAAGGCGGCCCCCUGGACAAAGACUGACGCUCAGGUGCGAAAGCGUGGGGAGCAAACA